rnacentral:rRNA from 1 species
UACAGAGGUCUCAAGCGUUGUUCGGAUUCAUUGGGCGUAAAGGGUGCGUAGGCGGCGCGGUAAGUCGGGUGUGAAAUCUUGGAGCUUAACUCCGAAACUGCAUUCGAUACUGCCGUGCUUGAGGACUGGAGAGGAGACUGGAAUUUACGGUGUAGCGGUGAAAUGCGUAGAUAUCGUGAGGAAGACCGGUGGCGAAGGCGGAUCUCUGGACAGUUCCUGACGCUGAGGCGCGAAGGCCAGGGGAGCAAACGGG